rnacentral:rRNA from 1 species
CUCCGGGGGUAGCGGUGAAAUGCUAUAAUCCCUGGGGGACCGCCAGUGGCGAAAGCGCUUGGCGGGGCCGAACCCGACGGUGAGGGACGAAGGCCAGGGGAGCGAACCGGAUUAGAUACCCGGGUAGUCCUGGCUGUAAAGUAUGUGGGCUAGGUGCUGGGCUUUCCUCGAGAGUGCUCGGUGCCGAAGGGAAGCCGUUAAGCCCACCGCCUGGGAAGUACGGCCGCAAGGUUGAAACUUAAAGAAAUUGGCGGGGGAGCACCACAAGGGGUGGAGCCUGCGGUUUAAUUGGAUUCAACGCCGGACAACUCACCGGGGGCGACGGCAGAUUGAAGGCCAAGUUGACGACUUUGCCGGACUCGCCGAGAGGUGGUGCAUGGCCGCCGUCAGCUCGUAUCGUGAGACGUCCUGUCAAGUCAGGUAACGAGCGAGACCUUCGCCUUUAGUUGCCAGCAGAUCCUUCGGGAUGCUGGGCACUCUAAAGGGACCGCUGUCGAUAAGGCAGAGGAAGGAGAGGGCGACGGUAGGUCCGUAUGCCCCGAAUCCCCCGGGCAACACGCGGGCUACAAUGCGCAGGACAGAGGGCUGCGACCCCGAAAGGGGGAGCCGAUCCCUAAACCUGCGCCUAGUUCGGAUCGAGGGCUGCAACUCGCCCUCGUGAAGCUGGAAUCCCUAGUAACCGUGUGUCACUAUCGCGCGGUG